UUCCAGACUCCUACGGGAGGCAGCAGUGGGGAAUAUUGCGCAAUGGGCGAAAGCCUGAUGCAGCGACGCCGCGUGAGGGAUGAAGGUCUUCGGAUCGUAAACCUCUGUCAGCAGGGAAGAACGGUCACUGUGCUAAUCAGCAGUGAAUUGACGGUACCUGCAAAGGAAGCACCGGCUAACUCCGUGCCAGCAGCCGCGGUAAUACGGAGGGUGCGAGCGUUAAUCGGAAUUACUGGGCGUAAAGCGCUCGUAGGCGGUAUGUCAAGUCAAGGGUGAAAUCCCCGCGCUCAACGUGGGAACUGCCUUUGAAACUGGCAAACUGGAGUGUGUGAGAGGAUAGUGGAAUUCCAGGUGUAGGAGUGAAAUGCGUAGAUAUACGGAGGAACACCAGUGGCGAAGGCGGAUUGCUGGACAGUAACUGACGCUGAGGCGCGAAAGCGUGGGGAGCAAACAGGAUUAGAUACCCGGGUAA
rnacentral:rRNA from 1 species